CUCGAGAAAGGCAGACAACUACGCGAACAGUGAAAUAUCCUGGAGGAAAUGAAAAUUAUAAAGGUACAUUCGAGCAACCGCAAAUCUGCACGAGUAUUCCGGAAAUGGACGCUUCGUACAUAUACAAAUUUGCGAUAUAAUUCGAUCGUUACUUGAAGCAACUAUUGAUUUUCUCGAAACGAAAUCUACCGCGACUCGCCGAAGAUUUCUUCGUCAAGUCGACUCGGUUCGGUGAACAGGAAAGGUGCGCCUAACGGAUAUACGAAUUCGACUUCCGCUUACUUACAUGAACAUAUAACCCGUCCGAUAGACAUGCGAGGAAGAAAUGUUAAAAAACGAUACAUUUUUCGAUACGUCAGAAUGAAAGUAUGAAACACAACGCCCCGUGAAAGGGUCCCGGAUGGAACAUCGCGCUCUGGUCGGAAGAUAAUUGUGAAAGUCACCAUGAAAUAAGCUGAAAAAUGGAUUAGUAACGUAGUAGAACGCACAAAAUAUCCAUUAAGUAAUAUCCCUGACCAAACCAAAUUUGCUAACAUUCGUUAUGUUGAUCAUUUAGGAAGAAAUAAGAAGAAUCAAUUUAUAGAAGUAUAUAUAUAAAGAAAUAUAAAAAUGUAGUUUGUGCUUGACUUGUGUGUUUCAGGAAGGAAAGAAAAAUAUAAUCCCAAUCUAGUAUACUGAGGUCAUUCACGACUUUACUCGAUUUUUAAUUUUGAACUAUAAAUUGCAAACUAGUAGAAUGAGAACUUCUGGUUUGCACGCUACAAAAGAUUAUAGUUGGUAGGAAUACGAGAUUUAAGAGCAGAGUUAAGCCAUUUCAAUUACCUAUCAUAUAAAAGAGAAAGUUGCUUUGGAAUGGUUGCUGAACCCAAUAUGUCACUUGUCAAAAUUUAAAAUGAAGAUAAUUUUUCGUUAUAUCUUAAGGUUAUUAAAUAUUAUAUAGAAGAAAAGUUCUUCUAUAUUAAAUAUAGUAUAGAAACGAAGUUUUAUAUAAGUAACUUAUAUUUAAUUUUGGCUGUAUAUUGCAGGAUUAAGUCUUGUAUAGUCAAACCCU